AAGUCGAACGGCAGCACGGACUUCGGUCUGGUGGCGAGUGGCGAACGGGUGAGUAAAGCAUCGGAACGUGCCCGAUCGUGGGGGAUAACGCAGCGAAAGCUGCGCUAAUACCGCAUAAGAUCUACGGAUGAAAGCGGGGGACUCGCAAGAGCCUCGCGCGAACGGAGCGGCCGAUGUCAGAUUAGGUAGUUGGUGGGGUAAAGGCCCACCAAGCCGACGAUCUGUAGCUGGUCUGAGAGGACGACCAGCCACACUGGGACUGAGACACGGCCCAGACUCCUACGGGAGGCAGCAGUGGGGAAUUUUGGACAAUGGGCGCAAGCCUGAUCCAGCCAUGCCGCGUGCAGGAAGAAGGCCUUCGGGUUGUAAACUGCUUUUGUACGGAACGAAAAAGCCCUGGCCAAUACCUGGGGCUGAUGACGGUACCGUAAGAAUAAGCACCGGCUAACUACGUGCCAGCAGCCGCGGUAAUACGUAGGGUGCGAGCGUUAAUCGGAAUUACUGGGCGUAAAGCGUGCGCAGGCGGUUUUGUAAGACAGAGGUGAAAUCCCCGGGCUCAACCUGGGAACUGCCUUUGUGACUGCAAGGCUGGAGUGCGGCAGAGGGGGAUGGAAUUCCGCGUGUAGCAGUGAAAUGCGUAGAUAUGCGGAGGAACACCGAUGGCGAAGGCAAUCCCCUGGGCCUGCACUGACGCUCAUGCACGAAAGCGUGGGGAGCAAACAGGAUU
rnacentral:rRNA from 1 species